rnacentral:rRNA from 1 species
UACGAAGGGGGCUAGCGUUGUUCGGAAUUACUGGGCGUAAAGCGCACGUAGGCGGCUUUCUAAGUCGGGGGUGAAAUCCAGGAGCUCAACUCCAGAACUGCCUUCGAUACUGGAGAGCUUGAGUCCGGGAGAGGUGAGUGGAACUGCGAGUGUAGAGGUGAAAUUCGUAGAUAUUCGCAAGAACACCAGUGGCGAAGGCGGCUCACUGGCCCGGUACUGACGCUGAGGUGCGAAAGCGUGGGGAGCAAACAGG